UACGAAGGGGACUAGCGUUGUUCGGAAUUACUGGGCGUAAAGCGCACGUAGGCGGAUUUGUAAGUCAGGGGUGAAAUCCCGGGGCUCAACCUCGGAACUGCCUUUGAUACUGCAAAUCUCGAGUCCGAUAGAGGUGGGUGGAAUUCCUAGUGUAGAGGUGAAAUUCGUAGAUAUUAGGAAGAACACCGGUGGCGAAGGCGGCCCACUGGAUCGGUACUGACGCUGAGGCACGAAAGCUAGGGUAGCGAACGGG
rnacentral:rRNA from 1 species